rnacentral:rRNA from 1 species
CCUACGGGAGGCUGCAGUGGGGAAUAUUGGACAAUGGGGGCAACCCUGAUCCAGCCAUGCCGCGUGUGUGAAGAAGGCCCUCGGGUUGUAAAGCACUUUCAGUGAGGAAGAACGCCUGGUGGUUAAUAUCCAUCAGGAAAGACAUCACUCACAGAAGAAGCACCGGCUAACUCCGUGCCAGCAGCCGCGGUAAUACGGAGGGUGCGAGCGUUAAUCGGAAUUACUGGGCGUAAAGCGCGCGUAGGUGGCUUGAUAAGCCGGUUGUGAAAGCCCCGGGCUCAACCUGGGAACGGCAUCCGGAACUGUCAAGCUAGAGUGCAGGAGAGGAAGGUAGAAUUCCCGGUGUAGCGGUGAAAUGCGUAGAGAUCGGGAGGAAUACCAGUGGCGAAGGCGGCCUUCUGGACUGACACUGACACUGAGGUGCGAAAGCGUGGGUAGCAAACAGGAUUAGAUACCCUAGUAGUC